AAAAAGCAUGUUUUAUUAUGAGCAUUGAUUUCAUGAAUAUGUCUUAUAAAAAUAGCAUGAUUAUGAAGCAUGAAUUUCAUUAUUUUUCUAGUUAUGUAUAUGUAUAUUUUAAGAAAAAGAUAAAAUGAUUUCAAAGGCUCUCAGAUGGCUAUGAAUGAAUUCCUUCGGGAAGGUCGAUAUCCGGAGCUAGCAUCCACAC
rnacentral:lncRNA from 1 species